UGAAAAGUGUUGAUUGGAAGAGGUUACGAACCUUUUAUUAAAGAGAGCCUAGCGAAGUUGAGAAUAGGUAUAAAAAUCGUAUCUACACACCCAAGAGCAAAUUAUUAAAGAUAAUUCGUGCGUGAGCGUUAAUCACAGUGUCAAGUCUGACACGCAGAGAUAGUAAUCGUGAGGUUACUAUGAAAAAAGGUGGAACCACGUUUAUUUCACGUCCUUUUA
rnacentral:ncRNA from 1 species